CAACGUUCUACAAUGGUUUAAGGUUAAAGUAGAUUGUGAACCAAAACAUGUUCCUAACGAACGUAUUAUUGAAGAAAACCAAGAGCAAUUCGACAACCCUCUGUUUACAGGGAACGACAAAAGAUCCGAAGCCUCAAAUAAUAUGAAGAUUCCAUUAAGUAACUACAGAUAUGUGAGGCAUAGCAGUUCUAGCAGUGUGUUCUUCAGUGCUUUAUACUGAACAUUAUGUAAACUUUAUUUUAUAUUCUUGCAUGUAGGUUUUCACAGCCUGUAUCUAAUAUGUAACUUCAGCUUUUAGAGCAUACCUAUAUCACAUCUUGAAGGUGUGGAACAGCUUCAACAUGUGAUGUGUCUAAACUCCGAAAGCUAAAAUUACAUAUUUUCAUUCAUAUGGUUGUGUUGUAAUAUAAAAUAUUGUAUUUGUUGCCAUAAUUCACACAGUAUUUGAUGUGAAUUUGUUUGAAGAUGUGAGGAUAUGAAUGACAGACACAGUCUAAUAAUAAGCAAACAUACAAAUAUUCAAAUAAUUGGUAAACUGCCACAUUCGUUUAGCAAGUGAAAUAUCAUGCUUUGUGAACUUUGAUGACUAGCUGGCUAGCUCAUCAUGCUCAUGGUGUAUAUACAUUUAUGUAUUUACAGACAGGUUAAUGUACUGAAUUAUGAAACAUGUUAUACCAGACUGUGAUCAGUAUAAUAAAUGGGCUAAAUAUAAAAUAUUUUUUUGUGUGCAUACAGUCUUGCAUCCACACACAUUUUUAGCCUACUUUCCUGUCUUAAGAAAGUCAACUUAUAUCAGAAUACAGUGUGAUUAUAUGUGUGUGUUCAUGUAUGUCCCCCACUUCAAUUUCUGAAGUAGUCUACCCAUUUUGAUGAGUAUGAUAUGGACAGAAUUUUUUUAUAGAAUGUAAACAAGGUGACAACUAUAGAAAUCUAUAUUUAGCUUUUGGUGUGAUGACAAUAACCUAUGUACCUACAAAUUCAAUGGGAAAUAUUGCUAAUCAUUCAACAAUUACAGUCUUGGAGGUGGUGUAAAAUUUUGAGUUUAUAUGAGACAAAUUUAAUGUAAACAAUGUACUUUAGAUCAGGGUUUUUUUAAAUUGUGAGGCAUACCCCACAGGAGGGCGCAGAAGUUUAAUUUUGAAGUCGGGAAAAGAGGAACAGCAUAUUCAUUUUUCUAUAAUAAAUAUUAACUUUGAAAGACUGUAGUACCUUUAAUUUUGCCCAAAGUCUACAUUUGAUGGGACAGUUCUCUUUGAAUUUCCAUUAAUCUCAAUUGUACAGGAACAUUGUAUAUCAAGUAGUUGUCAUGUCUUCAUAACCUGCUACCCUGUUUGAUAUAUCCUAAAACACCACACACAAACUUUAGGAAUGCAUCUAAUGGUACUAACCUAACCCUGCAAAAAUUGUCUAUGAACCUAAACAUUUCAUCCAAUCCAGUGUGCUAUGGCCUUUUAUACAUACAGUGUACUGAAUAUUGGGGGAGGUUUUAUUGGUGGAUUGUUUCUUUUGUGCAGCUGAUUGUCCACGAGUUUGUUCAACGGUGCAAGACCAAGAUUCCUUCUUGUUACCCCUCUUUCUUUUUGGUAAUCCUUAAUAAGUGCUUAACCAUGGACAGAUGGGUUAAUCAUGAACUACUGGUAAUGCAUGUAGGUCUAGGUCACAAUGGUGAACCUAGCACAAGCGUCAGCGGCACAUAGAAAAUGUUUCUGCCACUACACUCAACAAUAAGCAAUACAGAGGAAUGAGUUAUUACUGUUGCAGUCGUUGAUGGAAAAUACUGCAGUGAAAAGUGGAGAAAACAACAAGAAACAUACCUUGAACUUGGAUUUACUUCUUCCAGUACUGAUGGAAAUUGAAAUGCCUCUACCAGCAGAAAGUGUUGAUAGAAUAACACAGCAGUAUUAAGAAAUCUAAGAAGGUACUGAGAGCAUCAAAUUUUGUGACCAAAGCUGAACAUUCGCAGUUCACAAGUCUCUUACCUUGCAUGUGGAAAUUAAACUAACAGUAACAUUGUCUGGGAAGGAAUAUACUGUUGAACUCAAAUUCAGCCACUAUCAGUAAGCAAAUGAGGGACUUAGUGAUGAUGUGUAAACAGUCGUUGGAAUUUAAAGAAAUCCCAAGAUUUACUAUUCAGCUUGGUGAAUGAACUGGCAGUUACAAUUUAGACAGUUUUUUUGGGGGGGGGUUAUGUGUGUUGUUGCUUUAAGAAUCAUAUGCAUGAAGACCUAUUGUUUUGUCAGCCACUGCAAGGAAGAAUGGCAGGUAAAGACAUUUUUGUAAAAUUAAACAAGUUCUU